rnacentral:rRNA from 1 species
UAUAGCCUACGGGACGCAGCAGUGGGGAAUAUUGCACAAUGGGGGAAACCCUGAUGCAGCGACGCCGCGUGAGUGAAGAAGUAUCUCGGUACGUAAAGCUCUAUCAGCAGGGAAGAAAAAAAGUCUUUGGCUUUGGACGGUACCUGACUAAGAAGCCCCGGCUAACUACGUGCCAGCAGCCGCGGUAAUACGUAGGGGGCAAGCGUUAUCCGGAUUUACUGGGUGUAAAGGGAGCGUAGACGGCAGCGCAAGUCUGGAGUGAAAGGCGGGGGCUCAACCCCCGGACUGCUCUGGAAACUGUACGG